rnacentral:rRNA from 1 species
AACGAACGCUGGCGGCAUGCCUAACACAUGCAAGUCGAACGAGAUCUUCGGGUCUAGUGGCGCACGGGUGCGUAACGCGUGGGAAUCUGCCCUUUGGUUCGGAAUAACAGUUGGAAACGACUGCUAAUACCGGAUGAUGACGAAAGUCCAAAGAUUUAUCGCCAGAGGAUGAGCCCGCGUAGGAUUAGCUAGUUGGUGUGGUAAAGGCGCACCAAGGCGACGAUCCUUAGCUGGUCUGAGAGGAUGAUCAGCCACACUGGGACUGAGACACGGCCCAGACUCCUACGGGGGGCAGCAGUGGGGAAUAUUGGAUAAUGGGCGAAAGCCUGAUCCAGCAAUGCCGCGUGAGUGAUGAAGGCCUUAGGGUUGUAAAGCUCUUUUACCCGGGAUGAUAAUGACAGUACCGGGAGAAUAAGCUCCGGCUAACUCCGUGCCAGCAGCCGCCGUAAAAC